ensembl:lncRNA
GGAGACGCAAGAGACCCAGCUUGUCUUUCUGGGUUGGGAAGAUUACCUGGAGUAGGAAAUGGCAACUCACUCCAGUAUUCUUGCCUGGAAAAUUCCAUGGGCAGAGGAACCAGGCGGGCUAUAGUCCAGGGGCCACACAGAGUCAGAAACGACUGAGCACACACACAAGAACUAUAGAAUCAGAAUUUGCAUUUUUAACAUUUUUAACAAGAUCUCCAGGGCAGAUUAGAGAAGAAGAGAGGCCUGGUGACAACUGCAGGGAGUGCCCUCUGAUGACUGUCAGUAAAUAAUCCAAGAGCACCCACGGCAGCAAAGGAAAGCUAAGUAUAUAGUCCAUCUAGUCAAGGCUAUGGUUUUUCCUGUGGUCAUGUAUGGAUGUGAGAGUUGGACUGUGAAGAAAGCUGAGCGCUGAAGAAUUGAUGCUUUUGAACUGUGGUGUUGGAGAAGACUCUU